CCGAGGAGGAGCCAGAGCCCUCCCCACUGCUCCUGCCCCCGCGGGACUGCAGGCCCCGCGUUCCUUUACGGGCGAGGCGUGAUGGCUCUGGAAUAGGCGAGGAAGCUAGCAACCAGGGAUUACAACUGGAAGCUACUUGCAUGAGCUAAACCCAGCUCAGUCCCUACAGGAAGCUGCUGACGGCAUUUACCCUUCAAGGUUGGGGACGUUUAGGAGGGAAAGAGCUUCUGUGAAGCUUCCAAACACUAAAAGGACCCCACUGUCCAGCAGUGACCACACAAAUACACCCUCCUUCCCAGUGAGCUGGCACCAAGCAGCCUCCUGGCCAUUGGAGUAGCUCCUGCAGCUGGCUGGGGGAACAGAACCAGGGGAGUUUGGGGAGGCACUUGGCACACCCCAAAAUUUAAUAUAUUGAGAAUUUAGUUUGAGACUGUCUCUUCCUCAUUGCAAAAGUAGGUGGAAUGAAAAAUGGGGUGGAUUUGGGGGACCUUUGGUGGAUUGCCUCUCAGAGCCUCCCCCAAAUAUUAGAGAGCCAAGGCACCAGCAGCCAUUCUUGCUGGUCUCAUCUCAAUGCUUCCUGAAGUGGCUGUUCUGAGUGUUUAAAGCAUGAAAAAAAAAAAAAAAAACAGUUAUGCCAAA